UACGUAGGGGCGAAGCGUUAUCCGGAUUACUGGGUGUAAAGGGAGCGCAGACGGAACUGCAAGUCUGAUGUGAAAGCCCGGGGCUCAACCGCGGGACUGCAUUGGAAACUGUAGAUCUGGAGUGCCGGAGGGGCAAGCGGAAUUCCUGGUGUAGCGGUGAAAUGCGUAGAUAUCAGGAGGAACACCGGCGGCGAAGGCGGCUUGCUGGACGGCAACUGACGUUGAGGCUCGAAAGCGUGGGGAGCAAACAGGAUUAGAUACCCUGGUA
rnacentral:rRNA from 1 species